rnacentral:rRNA from 1 species
UGGGGAAUAUUGGNNAAUGGACCAAAAGUCUGAUCCAGCAAUUCUGUGUGCACGAUGACGUUUUUCGGAAUGUAAAGUGCUUUCAGUUGGGAAGAAAAAAAUGACGGUACCAACAGAAGAAGUGACGGCUAAAUACGUGCCAGCAGCCGCGGUAAUACGUAUGUCACAAGCGUUAUCCGGAUUUAUUGGGCGUAAAGCGCGUCUAGGUGGUUAUGUAAGUCUGAUGUGAAAAUGCAGGGCUCAACUCUGUAUUGCGUUGGAAACUGUAUGACUAGAGUACUGGAGAGGUAAGCGGAACUACAAGUGUAGAGGUGAAAUUCGUAGAUAUUUGUAGGAAUGCCGAUGGGGAAGCCAGCUUACUGGACAGAUACUGACGCUAAAGCGCGAAAGCGUGGGUAGCAAACAGGAUUAGAUACCCUGGUAGUCCACGCCGUAAACGAUGAUUACUAGGUGUUGGGGGUCGAACCUCAGCGCCCAAGCUAACGCGAUAAGUAAUCCGCCUGGGGAGUACGUACGCAAGUAUG